CUGACAGAAGAGAGUGAGCACACAUGGUGCCUUUCUUGCAUGGUGAAUUAAUGGGAGAGAGUUCAUGCUUGAAGCUAUGUGUGCUCACUUCUCUCUCUGUCAG
rnacentral:pre_miRNA from 1 species